rnacentral:misc_RNA from 1 species
GAUGAAGAACGUAGCGAAAUGCGAUAAGUAAUGUGAAUUGCAGAAUUCAGUGAAUCAUCGAGUCUUUGAACGCACAUUGCGCCCCCUGGUAUUCCGGGGGGCAUGCCUGUCCGAGCGUCAUUGCUGCCCUCAAGCACGGCUUGUGUGUUGGGCCCCGCCCCCCGGCUCCCGGGGGGCGGGCCCGAAAGGCAGCGGCGGCACCGCGUCCGGUCCUCGAGCGUAUGGGGCUUCGUCACCCGCUCUUGUAGGCCCGGCCGGCGCUUGCCGACACAUCAAUCUUUUUUCCAGGUUGACCUCGGAUCAGGUAGGGAUACCCGCUGAACUUAAGCAUAUCAAUAAGCGGAGGA